CCCUUAGAUGUUCUGGGCCGCACGCGCGCUACACUGACUGGUGCAACAAGCAUCCGUCCUUGGCCGACAGGCCCGGGCAAUCUUUGAACGCUGGUCGUGAUGGGGAUAGACUUUUGCAAUUUUUGGUCUUCAACGAGGAAUUCCUAGUAAACGCAAGUCAUCAACUUGCAUUGAUUACGUCCCUGCCCUUUGUACACACCGCCCGUCGCACCUACCGAUUGAAUGGUCCGGUGAAGCCUCCGGAUUGGCGCGCACCUCGGUGCCGCCGAGAAGUUGGCUAAACCUUACCAUUUAGAGGAAGGUGAAGUCGUAACA
rnacentral:rRNA from 1 species